rnacentral:rRNA from 1 species
AUUGAACGCUGGCGGAAUGCUUUACACAUGCAAGUCGAACGGCAGCACGGACUUCGGUCUGGUGGCGAGUGGCGAGCGGGUGAGUAAUGUAUCGGAACGUGCCCAGUCGUGGGGGAUAACGUAGCGAAAGUUACGCUAAUACCGCAUACGAUCUACGGAUGAAAGCGGGGGACCGUAAGGCCUCGCGCGAUUGGAGCGGCCGAUGUCAGAUUAGGUAGUUGGUGAGGUAAAGGCUCACCAAGCCGACGAUCUGUAGCUGGUCUGAGAGGACGACCAGCCACACUGGGACUGAGACACGGCCCAGACUCCUACGGGAGGCAGCAGUGGGGAAUUUUGGACAAUGGGCGCAAGCCUGAUCCAGCCAUUCCGCGUGCAGGACGAAGGCCUUCGGGUUGUAAACUGCUUUUGUACGGAACGAAAAGGCUCUGGUUAAUACCUGGGGCUCAUGACGGUACCGUAAGAAUAAGCACCGGCUAACUACGUGCCAGCCGCCGCAGUAA